UCGGGAAUUUUGGGCAAUGGGCGAAAGCCUGACCCAGCAACGCCGCGUGAAGGAUGAAAUCCCUCGGGAUGUAAACUUCGCAAGAUUGGGAAGAAUUAGUAGGGGUUAAUACCCCCUAUGAUGACGGUACCUUUUGUAAGCUCCGGCUAACUCCGUGCCAGCAGCCGCGGUAAUACGGGGGGAGCAAGCGUUGUUCGGAUUUACUGGGCGUAAAGGGCGCGUAGGCGGUCAGCACAAGUCAGUUGUGAAAUCUCCGGGCUUAACUCGGAAAGGUCAACUGAUACUGUGCGACUAGAGUGCAGAAGGGGCAACUGGAAUUCUCGGUGUAGCGGUGAAAUGCGUAGAUAUCGAGAGGAACACCUGCGGCGAAGGCGGGUUGCUGGGCUGACACUGACGCUGAGGCGCGAAAGCCAGGGGAGCGAACGGG
rnacentral:rRNA from 1 species